rnacentral:rRNA from 1 species
CUCCAGACUCCUACGGGAGGCAGCAGUGAGGAAUAUUGGUCAAUGGGCGAGAGCCUGAACCAGCCAAGUCGCGUGAGGGAUGACUGCCCUAUGGGUUGUAAACCUCUUUUGUAUGGGGGGAAUAAGCUUUACGAGUAGAGUGAUGACAGUACCAUACGAAUAAGCAUCGGCUAACUCCGUGCCAGCAGCCGCGGUAAUACGGAGGAUGCGAGCGUUAUCCGGAUUUAUUGGGUUUAAAGGGUGCGUAGGCGGACGCUUAGGCCGGCGGUAAAAUGGCGGGGCGCAACCUCGGCGAGCCGUUGAAACUGGGUGCCUUGAGUGGGCGAGAAGUACGCGGAAUGCGUGGUGUAGCGGUGAAAUGCAUAGAUAUCACGCAGAACUCCGAUUGCGAAGGCAGCAUACCGGCGCCCAACUGACGCUGAAGCACGAAAGCGUGGGUAUCGAACAGGAUUAGAUACCCGGGUAUA